UGGAAGCUGUUUCUAGGAUACAAUGUACAGCACUUCCUACUCUUGGCUCACUCUAACUUCAACCUCUCAGCUCUGUCAUUUUUUUCUGUCUAUGAAUUUAAAAUAGUUUUAUGCCACCAGAUAGUGAAGUGAAAGCAAUAGCAUUUGUCCCAGCUGUGGGUGGGAUCACCUUGCUACCGCGGUGAAAUCGAAGGGGCUGAUCUUCACAAGGAUUUUGCAUUAAGCACUGUUGUAGGAAUGUAAAUCAGGACCAAGAAGGAACAAAAUGGCUUCUGUUCCUAAGUAGAUGCUUAAGUUAUGGCCAUCAAAUAUUACAUACUCUGCAGAAGCUUUCCUGCAGAGUUGUCAUCAGGAGCGAUCCAAUCCUUUUCCGGACUGUCACAGUUUAUAAGUCAAUAAAAUAUCUGUGACUUUCCAAACUCUU